CCCUAGCUACUGGCCAAGGAGGAGGGUACAAAAGCACUGACAUGCACAGUCUGGAAAAGAAAGCCAAGGAACUCACUGUCCUAUCAGCAUUUCCUUUGUCCAAGUCAGAUGCAUACAACAGGCUCCCUUUGCAACCGCUCGCUGGCCACGGAUUCCCCGUGAUCGAGGAGCUUGGAACUAAAUCAUUCCCAAUGCUCUUAUACAUUUUAAAUGUUCCCCAGUAUUCCUUUUUAAGGAUAUAAAGUGAAAGAUCUAGAAAGUGAAGGAUCUGACGCUGCUACUUAUUGUCUCUGUGGCCUUGAGAAAAUCUCACUUAACCUCCCUGGGCCUCCGUGUACUGGUCUGUAAAAUGGGCACAAUAACCACAUGAGAAAUGUGAAGGGCGUCUUCUGUACAUUAGCUGACCCACAUUAAGUACUCGGAAUAUGGGCCCGGCUAGGACGUGGCUUUCUGGCUUCCCUCCCCCUUCCCCAGCCUUUGCAGCGAGGUGUCGCCAUUGGACGCUGCUCUCGCCAGGCUGGGAGCGGAAGUGAGGGGAUGUUGGCAAACAAGACCGAACACGGCUGGAGGACCAGAAAUCGUGGAAUGUGCGGAACAGCUGAAGAAAGGAUGCGCAGAUGGAAGGUACAAAGCCCGAGUGGUUCCCGACGAGGGAUGCUCCAGAAGCGGACCCCGAGGAUGCCCAAGGCCCAGAGCCAGUGCGGGCUGCAAGCUGGACGACUGGCCGGCAUUCUGGGAACAGAGCGGCCAGGUGAGUCCUCCCACCCCAUGUCCACACCAAGCACCGGGGAGCCCAGGCAUCCGCCUCCAGGAAGGAGUCACGAGGGCAGGGACCUGGACCAGAAAGUUGAGGCAGUGAGGAGGCAAACACCCAGAAAACCAGAAACCAAUGCACCUCUCUCGUCACAGCAACCCUGAGUCCCUUACAGGGAUGUGAGGAAGCUAAUGACUUAUCAAAUUACAUGUUAAAACUAAAAAAUUUGACUAAAAAACUAAAAAACUGUGUGAUAAGCAGAGUAAUAACCAUCUUCCCACCCCCCGCCCACAUCCUAGAAUCCGUGGAUUCCUUUCUUAUGUGGCAGAAGGGGAUCUGCAGAUGUGAUUAAAUUACAGACCUUGAGAUGGACGAGACCUGAAGGAUGUGGGCGGGCCCAAUUUUAUCAGCCGUAAUCCCAAGUGACCUUAGAAGAGGAAGCGGGGAGGGUGAGAGGCAGAGAAAGUGAUAUGAUAAUGCAAACACAAGUCAGACAGCUUGGAAGAUGGUCCACCAUUGGCUUUGAACAUGGAAUGAGGGGCCACAAGCCACAGAAUGUAGGCAGCCUCUAGAAGGUUCUAGAAGAGAAAGGACGAGAAGAGAAGGCAGCUUUCUAGAAGCCUCUAGAAGAGACAAGAUAAUAGCUUCUUCCCCAGAGCCUCUCAAAGGAACACCAACACCUUGGUUUUAGGACUUCUCACCUCCAGAACUGUAAGACAGACAAUAAAUUUGUGUUAUUUUAAGUUCAUUCAGUUGGAAAAAGAAAUUCAACUGAUGGGCUAAGUAAAUGAAUGCGUACAAGGAAAAAAAUUCACAAGGUGAAAUUUUCUCUGAAGACAAAGUAAAAAGAACAGAGAUCUAGAAAGCAAGAAGGAAAAGA